AUACGGAGGAUGCGAGCGUUAUCCGGAUUUAUUGGGUUUAAAGGGAGCGUAGGUGGGAUAUUAAGUCAGCUGUGAAAGUUUGGGGCUCAACCUUAAAAUUGCAGUUGAUACUGGUUUCCUUGAGUACGGUAUAGGUGGGCGGAAUUCGUGGUGUAGCGGUGAAAUGCUUAGAUAUCACGAAGAACUCCGAUCGCGAAGGCAGCUCACCGGGCCGGAACUGACGCUGAUGCUCGAAAGUGCGGGUAUCAAACAGGAUUAGAUACCCUGGUAGUCCACGCAGUAGACGAUGAUUACUAGCUGUUUGCGAUAUACAGUAAGUGGCACAGCGAGAGCGUUAAGUAAUCCACCUGGGGAGUACGCCGGCAACGGUUAAACUCAAAGGAAUUGACGGGG
rnacentral:rRNA from 1 species